ensembl:lncRNA
AACAAACAAACAAAACAAACAAAAAACCAAAACCAAAACCCACCAACAAACUAAUCAGGAAAUGUACCUUUCCAAACAAACUCAAAGUCAAACUACCAGUGGCUGAACACACAGCUCUCUGCAAAACCUAUUUCAAGGCUUGGCUGUAAGUCAGGGACAUUCUGAGCUGCAGCCAGUUGUGCCUUUCCAUGUGGCACCCUGGGCAGCCCUGAGCCCAGCUGCCUCCUCCCCACUCCUCCUGGCAGUUUCUUGAUCUCUGUGCCUAAGCUGUUCCUGCUGCUGAGCUGCGCUCCCUGUUUGCUCCCUGCCUGUCUCUCCUAUCUUCCCUCUGAAUAGCACUUGAAUAGAACUUGAUCCAGUUUCUGCCUUAAAGAAUACAAACAGACGUAGGGAGAAAAAAAAAAACAGAAGAAUAAAGGAUACUGUUCAUCACAAAGGGCAUCUCUUCCACUGCACUGCAGUCCAGUGUUACUUGUGGCAUGAGAUGGGGAUGACUUCUAACAUGGGGGCACAGCUAUUUGCCCAGCAGGUGCAGCACCUCCUCCCAAGCUGCACAGCCCAGCUUGUGUGGCUCCUCACCAGCACAAGGCAGAGCUCCUAGGGCUGUCUCCAGAGGGACUGUCCUGUAUCCCACAGGUAACAGAGUACUGUAACAGAGCUCCUCUCAUCUUUCCCAACAAUCUCAGCCAAAAAUGCUUUGCCUCUACCAUACCAAAUCUCAACCACGGCUGUGUGCAGAAAUCAGCUCCAAGAGGUGAGCAGAAGUUUCUCAUCACAGUGCAGAAACGUGAGACCCCGAGAGGGAGCCCUGCUACCCACAGACCUGAGUUUUUGAAGGGAGGGACAGGAGCAGGAUCUGCCCCCUCACUGCGAUGGCCCUGUCACCAGAAAAAUCAGAGUUCAGAUAAACCUCAGGUGAUGAAAUCUAUAACACAAUAAAUGGAAUUUCUAUCUGACCUUCAGCUCUCCUCAUUGAGAUACUUCAUUGUGUUUUCACAGCUUGCGCAGUCUCUGUUUACUGGAUUUGAGACAUGCAAUGUUUUUGCCCAAACUCCAUUUCCUUCCCUCCAAAGCAGUGAGAUCUGCUUAUGACUCAGCCUUCAAAAAAUAAAAAAAAAACACACAGCAAGGACCAUUAGAAUGAAUGCGCAAUGCAGGGAUAGAACCCAUAGGAUACAUUUUGGGGCUCAAGUCCUCAUUGCCCUUUAUUUAUCCUCAGAACCAAUGUGAACUUGUGUCAUGUCUGGGUGCAAAGUAAAUCUACUAGAACAUGAGCGCUUCUAAAGGCAGUCUGUCUCCAAUGAUGAGGGAAUAUCUGCAUGUGAUAAACACAGUGAUGGAUGGGGCUGAGGAGGCUGCAGGGAGUACACCCCACAGCCCCACAGACACUGCUCCCAAACCACCUCCUGCCUGAACACAGAUACCACCAGCUUCAAGGAAAUCAGUUACUGAGAAGCAUGGGUGGAUCACAGGGAAGGAAGCCGGGGGGAUUUCUCUAGCUUUGCAUUCAGAAAUUUCAGAAAGAGAACAUUUCAGGCAAGGGCUGAUAUUCUCAGUGCAAUGGAAAGGCUGUGGCUGUUCACUGCCGGUGUGGAUCCUGCCUCCAGCAUCUGCUCAGCUGCGAUCCAGAGGUUUCCUGCAUCUUGACACUGAAUGAAUGGCCUUGAAGUGUUUUACUCUUUUACAGCAGAGCAUGAGCAGAGGGUGGAGAAGUAACCCAUAGGGAGGUAAAUAGCAAUAUCCUUCCUGUAGCAUUCAUUAUCCUUUCCUCCUCCAGCAGAGGGGGAAACUGAGAGUCAGCAUCCUAAUAGAUGUAAUCUACCAGAUCUAAUCUACCAGAUCAGAGCAUCUCCUGAAACACAUUUGAAAUCGGAUCCUAAAUUGCUCAAAAUGAUUUGCUAAAUUGCUAAAAUGCCCAAAAUUUUCACUGAAUUCAGUGGAAUUCCAGACUUUAACCUCUGUAUUUAUUUUUUUAACCUUCUGUUUUCAUAAGGGACACACCCAGGCACCCCAAGACAUCUGACAAUGACUGAAGGCUGUUCGUGUCCAGGCACAGGAAUGAAGUGAAGGGAAAUAAUGAUCUCAUUUCACAAAAGCGGGCUGUAACAAGAAAUACAUGCAUGGCCUGUCUGAGCUUAUGCAGUGCCCAGGGUUUUCUCCAGACACGGUCAACGAGGAACUUCGAAGAACAAGAAAUUUCCUUUUUUAAAGAUGUGCCCUAAAAAGCAUAUGAAAAAAAAAAUCCAGAAAUAAAGAAUCUCCUCUUUAAAAUUUCAGUGCAACACACAGCAGUGAGCUUGAGGGUUAGCUUAGAUGUGCUAUCAGGCAGCAAUAUCCCUGUGUAACGCCAAGUGAGAUGAGGAUAGUUGCCAUGAAAUGUAUCUGUGGCACAAGCUUCCCCUUCCUAGCAGUAACCCUGUGGAACACCAGCGAUACAUUUCAAUCAUACAAAACAAAAAACGUGAAUUUUAGAAAGCUGUAUGGAGGGAUGCUC